rnacentral:lncRNA from 1 species
AUUGAAUGGAAAGUAGCGUCAUCUGUUGACCAAAAAAAAUACCAUAAGCAUAUCUUUUUUUUGUUUUGUUUUUAAGCCCCUUUUCAAACACUGAGAUUACUAAAGGGCGGGGCCAGUUCCAACCACAGGCUGCACCCAUACCCACGGAGAGGAACCGAAUGGCGAAAGAUGGGGACCACCAGAAUCCCGAAAAAACUUUUUCGUCAGUUGGCGGAUUCGGGACGUGAAUCCGGGUCCUUCUUCGUGGCACACCAACGUGUUACCACUCGGUCAUCCGGCCGCCACCAUAAGCAUAUCAAAAGCUUCCUCAUUAAUAUUCAAAGGACAGAUCCGAAGCAAUUGGACAAACAGGUUCCAAUCAUGGCAAAUAUUAUCCGGACCUUUAAUACUCCGC